rnacentral:rRNA from 1 species
CCUGAUUGUUAGGAGAACUUGCCCCAAAUACUUGCCCCAAAUACUAAAGGAAGCAGAAUAGUCAUUACGACGCGCAAUGACGAUAUAGCUCGGCUGGCGUCCAAAGGACGUGCACUAAAAAGUGAAUGCUUGCCAGAUGACAAGGCAUGGUUACUCUUCCGUAGGAAAGCUUUUCGGAGGGAGGAAGAUUAUGAAUGCCCUACGGAGCUGAAGGGCCACUCAGAGCAGAUAGUGGCCAAGUGUAAAGGCUUGCCUCUUGCUAUUGUGUCAGUUGGAAGUCUCUUGUUUGUGCGCGAGAAGAAUCCAACAGAAUGGAAACGAAUCCAUGACCAGCUAGGUUGGGAGCUGGCGCAUAACCCGGGGCUUGAUGAUGUGAGGAAUACUUUGUAUUUGAGCUUCAUAUACCUUCCUACAUACCUGAAGAGUUGUUUUCUGUACUGUUCCUUGUUUCCGGAGGACUACAUUCUUCACAGGAAGUUACUCAUCAGACUAUGGAUUGCAGAGGGGUUCAUUGAGGAAAGGGGUCAUAGUAGUACAUUGGAAGAAGUGGCAGAAGGCUAUUUGAACGAGCUUGUCCACAGAAAUAUGCUGCAGCCUGCGGAAUGCAACUCAUUUGGCAGAAUAAGAUCCUGCAAAAUGCAUGACAUUGUUCGUGAGUUGGCAAUUGAUUUAUCCCAGAAAGAAAGUUUUGGUCUUGCAUAUGAGUAUGGGAAUCAUGGUAUUCUGGACACAAACACUCGUCGCUUGGUUGUAUCUAAAUGCAGCAAUGAUAUUUUGCCACAUUUACAGCUACCUCGUCUUAGAUCUUGCAUCAUAUUUCAUAAGGCCAUGCCAUCAUCCAGAAUACUUGAUUCUGUAGCAGUUAACUCUAAGUACAUCGUAGUCCUAGAACUAUGUGGCUUGACCAUCGAGGAAGUGCCAAGUGCUGUUGGAGAUCUUUUUAAUCUGCGCGAUUCAAAGGUGAAGAUCCUCCCGAAGUCUAUUGAGAAGCUCUCCAACUUGUUGACAUUGGAUAUUUUCAACAGUGUGAUACAAGAAUUGCCUCAUGGGAUUGUCAAGCUGAAGAACUUGAGGCACUUACUUGUUGAGAGAAUUGUAGAUCGGUCACAUCGAUCUUUUAUAUGUCGCCAUGGUAUGCGCAUCCAGAAGGGUCUAUCAAAAUUGACAAGUUUGCAGACGCUGAAUACAAUUGAAGCACGAGAAGAUUCUAUUAAAGAGCUGGGGGAGCUAAAGCAACUAAGGAGCUUGAGGAUAAGUAACCAGAAGGAAACCCACUGUGCGCUUUUUUGCAGGUCCAUCUUGAAGAUGCAACUCUUGAAUCAAUUACAUAUUACCAUGAGUGACAAGGAUCAAAUUCUUCAGUUGAAUGAGCUGAAAACCCCACCCCUCAACCUUCAGAAACUCAUUCUGAGAGGGAGAUUGGCAGAAGUGACAUUUCAGUCUCCUCUUUUCCAGAAAGGAGGGAAGAAGCUAUGUGGACUAUAUCUUGUUUGGUCGUGUCUGCCAGAAGAUCCCCUCCCAUCCAUCUCGGGAUUGGAUAACCUGACAGAGCUGCAUCUUACAGAAGCAUUCGUCGGGAAAAUAUUAACAUUCAACAAGGGAUGGUUCCCCAAUUUGAAGUCUCUGAAACUGCGUGACUUGCCUUCUCUAAGUAAGCUAAAGAUAAAGAAAGGUGCCAUGGAAAGCCUCCAUAUUUUGCAGCUAGUGAACCUGAGAAAAUUGAAGGGUGUUCCAGCUGGCCUUGAGUUUCUUACAUCCCUCCAAAGUUUAAGUUUUCUCCAUAUCACUGAAGAGUUCCUUGUGUUGCUUAAUGAAUAUUCUGGGAUUAAGGAGAUCCCGGUGUGGGAUUCUAUAGAAGAUCAGCCUGUGACAAGGAAAUGUAAGUCACUCACCAACUAG